rnacentral:lncRNA from 1 species
AACACUAACAAAUGUAAUUUACAAGCCACACAUCAAAAUCAACUUACAACAAUAAGAGCAAACCCUUUUGUUUUCCUUCUCUUCAUUUGCUCUCCAUACGCCAAAUAUAAUAACAAUGGUGGCAAUGAAGAUGAAGCUUUUCGUGGCGGUUUUGGUUGCAAUGAUAGCUUUCUCUGCGGUUUAGCAAUCUGCUGCAGCGGUUGACGCAGCACCGAGUCCUACCUCCGAUGCAUCCUCGUUUAUCCCUACUAUCUUCGCCUCCGUCUCGGUUUUGGUCGUUGGAUUACUCUAUUGAGAAGUUUUUCUUUGUGUGUUUUAAUUUAGUUAAAAUAUAAGAUCAACCGAUUGAUGUUUAAGUCUGGUCUUGUUUGUGUCUCUUGAUUUCCUGUAGUUGCUUAUAUGUCUUGAGUUUGAUCUCUUUCUAUUUCUUUUCUCUAUUUUCCAUGUAUGGUUGUCGAAGUUGACUCAUCCUAAUAUCAAUAAUAUUUAUUAUUUCCGUCUU